rnacentral:rRNA from 1 species
GAUGAACGCUAGCUACAGGCUUAACACAUGCAAGUCGAGGGGCAGCGGUAUCGAAAGCUUGCUUUCGGUAGCCGGCGACCGGCGCACGGGUGAGUAACGCGUAUCGAACCUGCCUCAUACUCGGGAAUAGCCUUGCGAAAGUAAGAUUAAUGCCCGGUGUUUUCAGAGUCCCGCAUGAGGCUUUGAACAAAGAUUUAUCGGUAUGAGAUGGCGAUGCGUCCCAUUAGCUUGUUGGCGGGGUAACGGCCCACCAAGGCAUCGAUGGGUAGGGGUUCUGAGAGGAAGGUCCCCCACAUUGGAACUGAGACACGGUCCAAACUCCUACGGGAGGCAGCAGUGAGGAAUAUUGGUCAAUGGGCGGAAGCCUGAACCAGCCAAGUAGCGUGCAGGAAGACGGCCCUCAGGGUUGUAAACUGCUUUUAUAAGGGAAUAAAGAUAAGUACGCGUACUUAGUUGCAUGUACCUUAUGAAUAAGCAUCGGCUAACUCCGUGCCAGCAGCCGCCGUAA